AUUGAACGCUGGCGGCAUGCCUAACACAUGCAAGUCGAACGAGUAGCGGACGGGUGAGUAAUGGCUUGGAACCUGCCUGAUGGAGGGGUCUAAGUACUGUAAACCGUAGCUAAUACCGCUUACCAUCCGUUGUGCCCAGGUGGGAUUAGCUUGUUGGUGGGGUAACGGCUCACCAAGGCGACGAUCCCUAGCUGGUCUGAGAGGAUGAGCAGCCACACUGGAACUGAGACACGGCCCAGACUCCUACGGGAGGCAGCAGUGGGGAAUAUUGCGCAAUGGGCGAAAGCCUGACGCAGCAAUGCCGCGUGUAUGAAGAAGGCCUUCGGGUUGUAAAGCACUUUUGGCGGGGAAGCGGUACCCGACGAGGAAGCCCCGGCUAACUCCGUGCCAGCAGCCGCGGUAAUUC
rnacentral:rRNA from 1 species